AGAAAAAAAGAAUAAAAAGAAAAAGAUACAAAAAUAACACCAUUAAUUUUAAAGUGCUUCAAUUGUGGAAAGAAAGGACACAUCAAACCAUAUUGUCCUCUACUCAAGAAGGCAAAUAAAAAAUUUAGAAAAUCUUAGGAAAAAAAAGUUUAUAUUACAUGAGAAGAUAAUAAUAUGGAAUCCUCAGAUGAUGAAGAAGAAAAAUCAAACAUCUGUCUAAUAGUAAAUCAUCAAGAUGACGAGGUAAU
rnacentral:lncRNA from 1 species